rnacentral:lncRNA from 1 species
AUAUUAUUCAUAUACUGUAAUAAUAUCUCUUUCACUUCACGUGUCAUUCAUUUUCAAUCCGGAUAUAAUUGCACUGGCUGCUGAAACAGAAAGUCAGCUGAUUAGCAUAAAAACAAUCGAUAUUCAAUCUGUCAAUAGGAAUUUUCCUUUAUUUACAACAUUAACAUGUUUUUGGUAUUUCUUCGUGUAAAUAUACUUCAGUCG